rnacentral:rRNA from 1 species
CCUACGGGAGACUGCAGUGGGGAAUAUUUGGCAAUGGGCGCAAGCCUGACCCAGCAAUGCCGCGUGAAGGAAGAAGGCUUUCGGGUUGUAAACUUCUUUGACAGGGGAAGAGCAGAAGACGGUACCCUGAAAACAAGCCACGGCUAACUACGUGCCAGCCGCCGCGGUAAUACGUAGGUGGCAAGCGUUGUCCGGAUUUACUGGGUGUAAAGGGCGUGUAGCCGGGAAGGCAAGUCAGAUGUGAAAUCUGGAGGCUCAACCUCCAAAUUGCAUUUGAAACUGUUUUUCUUGAGUACUGGAGAGGCAGACGGAAUUCCUUGUGUAGCGGUGAAAUGCGUAGAUAUAAGGAGGAACACCAGUGGCGAAGGCGGUCUGCUGGACAGCAACUGACGGUGAGGCGCGAAAGCGUGGGGAGCAAACAGGAUUAGAUACCCUAGUAGUC